rnacentral:lncRNA from 1 species
UUUAAACAUGUCUUCUCAUUCUUCUAGUCGUAGUGAAAGUGAUAAAAAGUCUAUAAAAUCUAUUUAAAAACAAAUGGCUAAAGACUUUUAAUCACUAUCACUUAGACAAUUGCAACACGAGGCUCAAAUUUUGGAAGAAAAGAAAGAAAGCAAUGUCCAUCUUGCAUUCUUAGAAGAAUAGUUAAAACUUGUUAAAGAAAAGCAUGAAUACA